CCAAUGGCAAGUGGCUAUAAUCCUCCACUGAGUUGAGGGAGACCUGAGCUAAGACAAGGGCCAAGGACCGGGUCUGAGCAUCUGAGGGCUCAGAGAAUUCCAAAUUCUCCUGCUGGGGAAAACUGGGAAGAAGAGUGCCAAUGACCAAUGCGGGACUCAAACGGGAGCAUUUCUGAAGAGGAGAAAAUGGUCACCUAGGUUUGGGAUGUCACACGAAAGGCUGCCUCCCUUGUCUGAGUUCACGUUCCCAGCCUGAGGCUCCUUCUGAAGAGACCAGACUUGGGGGAGACUCAGCUUUGAUCUUCGAACCACACGAGAGGCUCCAUCAACCCACUCGCAGGCUCAGCCAGAACAGGUCAUGACCGGAGUUAAUAUGCAAAAUAUAUAAACAGCUCAUACAACUCAACAUCAAAAAAAC